GGUUUUUCGUUGGUGUAUGAAUAAUCAGGCCUGCCCACUGAAGUAAUUUGAAGGGCUGCAGUAUAUUAACUGUACAAAGGUAGCAUAAUCAUUAGUCUUUUAAUUGAGGACUGGAAUGAAAGGUUUGACAGGUUUUAACUGUCUCUUGGAUAGUAAUUGAAGUUUUAUUCUUGUGAAAAAGCACGAGUGGACUAAAGGGACGAGAAGACCCUAUUAAACUUUUUUUGGUUUUGAUUAUCUUUGGAUGUAUGAAAAAUGUAGUCAAAUUAAAUUUUACUGGGGCGGUAAGUUAUAAACGUUAUUUUUAUGUAAUAUUUUAUUUAGCUGAUUGAUAGAUCCAAAUGGUUGAUAAAGAGAAAUAGUUACUAUAGGGAUAACAGCGUAAUAUUUUUUAAGAGUUCAUAUUGACAAAGGUGUUUGCGACCUCGAUGUUGGAUUAAGAAGUCUUUUAGGUGCAGGAGCCUAAUGAGAUUGUCUGUUCGACAAUUAAAUUCUU
rnacentral:rRNA from 1 species